rnacentral:snoRNA from 1 species
UUUAAAGUGAUGAUAAACUUCUAUCAUUUCCUGAUUCAAUUUUGAUUCUAUUUUUGAAGAUAAAUUGAUUUUCAAGAUGACAACGAGGCAUUUGUCUGAUCAUGUU